rnacentral:rRNA from 1 species
GAGUUUGAUCGUGGCUCAGAGUGAACGCUGGCGGCAGGCCUAACACAUGCAAGUCGAACGGCAGCGGGUCAGUAGCAAUACUGAUGCCGGCGAGUGGCGGACGGGUGAGGAAUACAUCGGAAUCUACCUUGUCGUGGGGGAUAACGUAGGGAAACUUACGCUAAUACCGCAUACGAACCAUGGUUGAAAGCGGCGGACCGCAAGGCGUCGCGCGAUUGGAUGAGCCGAUGUCCGAUUAGCUAGUUGGCGGGUAAAGGCCACCAAGGCGACGAUCGGUAGCUGGUCUGAGAGGAUGAUCAGCCACACUGGAACUGAGACACGGUCCAGACUCCUACGGAGGCAGCAGUGGGGAAUAUUGGACAAUGGGCGUAAGCCUGAUCCAGCCAUGCCGCGUGUGUGAAGAAGGCC